CUUUGGGAAGAAAACCAAUUCGGAAGAGAGUGAAGCUUCGUUUCGUUUAGUUUUCUUCUUCCACUGAAUCCCAUGGCGAAACUGAAGCACACGCCAGCUUCUAGCAAGCCUGCUCAACAAGAGCUGAUUACACCAAGAUUUUGAAUUCUCAAUCUGGAUCUUCGACGCUCGAAGCUUGAUUAGCCAAGGUCUUCGACGGGUUCCGGAAUCUAGAAGUCGCGGAGCCUUUCGAGGAGCUUCACAGCAUGGUGAGAGAAACCCAGCAUACAAGACUCUGUUUAAAUCUUUGGUAGAUUUUGGGGAUGUUUGAUCGUAUUUGAUUGUCGGUCAAGUGAGAUCCCUAUAUUAUUGAUAUUUGAGGUGGUACUGGUGGUUUUUAAGUCAGAAAUAAUGUUGUUUUAUGUCUAGAAUAAGCUAAAAUAUCAGUAAUUUUUCUGCAUUAAAAAUUGUAGUUUAUAGCAAAAAAAUGGAGGUGUUCUUAGAUUAUUGUUGAAUUUUGUUGCUAAUGCUUAGCAUGAUAUGCAC